rnacentral:tRNA from 1 species
GGUAGCAGAGUGUAGCGGUUAAAAACAUGGCUCUGAGGCAGAAAUGCCUGGGUUCAAAUCCCAGUUCCACCA